GGCUCCGUGGCGGGUGGUCCGCGUCUGCACCUCAUAUGAAUGUCAGGUUCUCCUAUUAGAUGUCAAUGCAGAAGCUGCCUGUUUGAAUCAGGCCGGAGCCU